rnacentral:tRNA from 1 species
GGUCUUAUAUUUUAAAUAGAAUACUAGGCUGCAAUUCUAGAGGUGUUAAGUAACUAAGGCUU